rnacentral:tRNA from 1 species
GUGGUUGUGGCUCAGUGGUAGAGUACUUGCCUCACAUAUGUGAGGCACUGGGUUCAAUCCUCAGAACCACG